AUUUCUCUAAAAAUGAUGCUUGCUGUAUUAUAAAUUCGUUAUAAAGAUAGUUGACAAGUUAUAUGGCCGUACAUAAACGGCUAUUUGCAAUAUAACCCUAGCCUAACGGCUCGGGUUAUAUUUACAAAUAGCCGUUUAUAUAGGGCCACAUAACCUGUCAACGAUCUUUAUAACUAAUAAUAUAACUGGUAUUUGAAUGUAAUAUAAAUCUUUACUUCUUCCCUGACCUUGUACAUUAAACAUCCCGGGUGUAGAUUUUCCGAGGUUUAUGAAAAAAACCAUGGAAACUUCUUCAAAAACCUUGGACAUAAACCAGUUUUACAAGGUUUUUAUUAAAUUCCAAGGUUUUGUUUAAAAUCUUGGAAACUUUAUCCAAGGUUUUUGGUAUAAAAUCCUUGGAAAUAAAGAAAACCUUGGAAACUAUCUCGGAAUUUAAACACUCUGCCAGAAAUCAGCUUGGAAAAAGCUUGGAAAUGAAGAACUUUGUCAUUUUUUUGCUCGGAAAAGAACUUAGAAAAUUUACGUAAAUUUGUUGGAAAAAUAAAUGCUUGGAAAUGACCUCGGAAAUUUGUACUUUACUAUAUUUCAUCUCGGAAAAUGUUAAGCCAUAAUGAUAAUCAUGAUUUAACUUAAAAUGGGCAUCGAAAGCAAUGAUCAACAGUUAAAGCUGGCAGAUUUACUAAAACCAAGCUACCAACCCGGCUGUAGAUUGCCCAUGGAUAUUUAUUUAAUCCAUGGUCAGAGCAAACAGUUGUCCAUGGUUAGUCCAUGCAAGACAGCAUGGUCCAGGGAAAUCAAUUUUCAGUAUGGACAAUUUGUUGAUGGCCAACUUCAUGGCCAACAAUAAAUUUGUCCUUUAAAUUUCUGAAGCGAUUUAUUUGGAAGGAAUCAAUUAAAAAAAUUUAAGUGUGAAAACAUGGAAAAGUUAAAUAAAUUCCUUGUUGCCAUAAAAUACAUUUAUUAAUGGCUAUAAAUGUAUCGCAUCUAAUCAUAAUAAAAGAAAGAUUAUUCAAAUAAAAACUGAUGAUCAGAAAGACUUUAAAAAAAAUAUUUUCAUUUUUUUUUAUUAUUAUUUAUAAUUAUCAUUACUAGAUAUCUUCUUCAUUAAAAGAGCAAAACUAUAAAACAAAAAGAAACAGUCUAUUAGUUUCCAAAUGCAUCAGUAUUUUUCCUACAGUUUCUUUCUAUAUAUAGACUUAACUUAGGGUUUCUUGAAAGCCUGUAAGCAACACUGAAAUAAGAAUGCUCUAUAACCUUUAAUAUAUGUUUUAUGCUAUUCUACAAAAAAGUCUGUGACAUACAUUCAGAUUACAAUUUACUCUGCCAUUAAUUUAAGUGUACAAUAAACAGUGACUGUCAUAGUUAUUAAUUGUCCUUUUAAUAUAAUUAUAUUCAAUUGAAUGUCUGAAAUAUAAUAACCAGUAUGCUUGAUAAUUUCUUAUAAUUAGGAUAAAUAAAUACUGCAUCCACUAAGAUUUCACACACAGAAUAAAACACACUGAUCAGAUAAAACUAAUGGCACCCCAGGUGGUUUCCUCUAUCUAUGCAUGAUCAAUCUUCUCAUUGGGCAUUCUGGGAUAGACCAGAUUGUUACAUGUGAUUAUUCAGGGGGAGUCUGGGUUUUUAUACAUUCCAAAAUCAAUCAGUCUAAAAUGACAUUGCAACUGUGAUUCUCUUUUAAGAACUCAUUAAAAUUUUCAACUUUUACAUUUAUUUAUCAUUUGAUAUAUUUGUACCUUCAAUAAAUGUAAAAUUAAAUGAUGGUGGCUUUGAUAUUUUGGGAUCACCCCUGUUUCACAUUAUGAUGGACCUAUCCUGAAUAAACUGUUGAAAAAUUUGAAUCUCAGACAUUAAUGGGUCAAGUGGUUAUAGUUGGAAAUAGUGGAAACAUGGAUUUAUUUAAGCAAUUUUGGAGAUAUCUUGUUUUAAAUGUUAGGGAGCCUAUUUUGGAAUUUUCAAAGAAAACAUUUAUCAAAGUGUGACAAGAUUUAGGAAAUGUUUGGUUGUUGUAAUUGAACCUUAAAAGAUGAAUGACCUGAGACAGGAAGAUAAACAAAAGAAACAUAAUAGUAAAAAGGUUCAGGUAAAUAACUUUUAGAUACAUUUAUGCAGAAAAACUGUGUUUUUUCUUCAAAUAAGUAUUAAAUACAAACUAUUUUAGAUCUAUAUUUUUAACCUUUGUAAGCUAGUUUAAAUACAAUUGUUUAAUGGAUAUUUUAUGAGUAUAAAUGUUAUGUUUGUCUAUGAUUGUAUUGCACAAGAUAAGUGCAUAAAACUAUGAUGACAUAAUUCAUAAACUUUCAUAUAACAGAGUCAGCUUGAAAGCAAGUUUGCAGGUGUUCCAAACUACAAGAAAAUGGCAAUCCAGCUUUGCCGUCUUUUAUCAUAGUAUAAAGCAGAGGAAUAUACUGGAAAGUCAUUGGCAUUGGUGCAAAGGAAGCCAACUGUAGACCAGGAAAGGCUUCAAGGAAUAUACUACAGAAUUGUAUCCAAGCAUUUUCCACAUGUGACCCCUGUGACGGUGAGGGAAAAUUUGGGGACACUUUAAAAUCAUGAAGAGUGAACAGGACUUCAAUAGAUUAAUAUUUGAAUAUAUAUAAAUUUGCCGGGUACCAAAAAAAUUAUAACUGAACAUUGAGUGUAAUAUUUACCAUUAAAGACUUCUAACUUAAUUUUUCAUUUGUAGUGCAUUACUAUUUACUUCACACUGACAUUAAAUGUUUCAGUGAGUCAUGUGAUCAUUUUUUGCUCUGUAUUAUUAUAAAGAAGUUUAUUAAUUCUUUAAAAGGACAAUAUAAUUGCUCUUUUCAGAAUAUUUCAUUGGUUGUUAUAUUUUCUGAUUUUCCAUGGAUAUUCUAGAAAUUUCCAAGGUUUUUGCUCAAGUAAACCUUGGAAAAUGAUCUUGAUGCUUUAGUAAGAAUCCUCGGGAAAUAAUUACAGUAUUCCCAGUUUUGAGAAACUUUCCGAGGUUUUCAUUUGAAAACCUUGGAAAACAAACCACGGAAACACUUUAAAAAUCCUUGGAAAUCGUUCCUAUACUCUUAGGUCACCAAUUUUACAAGGUUUUUUAAAAAAAUCCUCGGAAAUUAUUUUACGAGGUAUUUAUUCUGAAAUCCUUGGAAAUCGUUCCAAUACUCCGAGGUCAUACUUUUUACGAGGUUUUUUUUAUUAAAAAAACCUCGGAAAUUUUUUACAAGGUGUUAUACCGUCUCCCUAUUUUUCCAAGGUUUUCUUAAAAGCAAAGUUUUGCAUAAAUUUCUCGUUCCAAUACUCCGAGGUUUUUUUCCAAGGAUUUUGAGCCAAAAACCUUGGAAAAUCUACACCCGGGAUCUGUGGUAUGAUAUUUCCAUUUAAUUUAUUUAUUCAUUAAUUUAUUUACUUGUUAAUUUAUACAUUAUAUUUAUUUAUAUAUUUAUAAUUAGAACAUUACUUUUUAAAAUCAGUUUUAUUUUCACAAAUUAUUCCUGAUCUUUAGAAAAGAACAUUUACCUUCAUUAAGGUUAAUAUAUCUAUUCUCGUAAAUUCACUGCCUUUCUUUCAUUUAUUAAUUAAUAAACACAAUUUGAAUAUAAAUUUCUGCAAUUUCAAUAUUAUUAAUGUUUUGUAACAAUGACCAGAUAUCAAUAUUCAAUAAAAAAUGAUUUCUGAUGAUUGUAAUCAUAAUGCAUUAUAUUCAUCCUCAAACUUUACAACAAUAUAUAUAUAUAUAUAUCAAUAACUAAAAUGUCAUAGGUUUCACUUUUUUGAUGAAAAUAAAAAAACCAAUUUAUUGUGACUUUUAACAUAAAAUAAUUCAGUUCAAACACUAUGUAAACUGCAUGUAUUUUAUCUCACUAUGUUAAAAAUUCAAACCAUUUUCUUUUGUUGAAAAGGUAAA